CUUUCAAAAUCAAAUGGAAGGACUGGAACUUCAGAUGAGAUGAGAUCUGCCGAGAUGUGACUGCGCGGAUGGAGGCCAAAAUGGAUAAUCAGGACGAAGUCGGAGUGGAAAUAGGCCUACCGGCAGUGGAAGUCAAACACCCAUGUUGUAAAAAUGGGUUGUCAAAGUUUAUGGCCAAGCUGAUGUCCAUUACCAUGACAACGACACAAGUGUACUUCACGUUAAUACUGUUGAGCAUCCCUUACCAGCUGUACACGUUGUUAAACGAUUUUCGGUAUCACUUCAAAUUGCUUGACUAUCAUUUCCCCAGUCGCCGCCACACACUUUCUGUUAUGAUACUACACGUUGCGACGUUUUACUGGUCAUUAUUGGCAGGGAUAUACUCUUUUCAGUGUGGCCGCAAGAGGCAAGGCUGUUUGUUUGUGGUAGCAGUGAUUUUGAACCUGGGCACUUUUCUAACCAGGUGCAUUUUUGAGUUUAUGAUGUUGAAGUACAGAGAGGAAGUAUGAACCUACUGACAGCCACCACUGUCUCUCUGCUGCUCCAAUGCUUGUGAAGACCAUUCUUUCAAAAAGAUCUGAGGACUUUUUGAAACCAACACGCAGAGCACUUUACCUAUACCUGAACACAAUGUACUAAAUAAAGUGCACACAGAGCAGAAACAGCCAUGGCUGUGAUUUUUAAAAAUCUGAUUAGGUGGCGAGGGAAGAAUAACCGUUUCUACAUUUCACAAUGAAACGUCCAACUAGCCAAAGUGUACGUG